UGGGGAAUAUUGCACAAUGGGCGCAAGCCUGAUGCAGCCAUGCCGCGUGUAUGAAGAAGGCCUUCGGGUUGCAAAGUACUUUCAGCGGGGAGGAAGGGAGUAAAGUUAAUACCUUUGCUCAUUGACGUUACCCGCAGAAGAAGCACCGGCUAACUCCGUGCCAGCAGCCGCGGUAAUACGGAGGGUGCAAGCGUUAAUCGGAAUUACUGGGCGUAAAGCGCACGCAGGCGGUUUGUUAAGUCAGAUGUGAAAUCCCCGGGCUCAACCUGGGAACUGCAUCUGAUACUGGCAAGCUUGAGUCUCGUAGAGGGGGGUAGAAUUCCAGGUGUAGCGGUGAAAUGCGUAGAGAUCUGGAGGAAUACCGGUGGCGAAGGCGGCCCCCUGGACGAAGACUGACGCUCAGGUGCGAAAGCGUGGGGAGCAAACAGG
rnacentral:rRNA from 1 species